AGGGGAGUAGCUCAAUUGGUAGAGUAGUGGUCUCCAAAACCAUUGGUUGCGUGUUCGAGCCGCGUCUCCCCUGCCA
rnacentral:tRNA from 1 species